UAAUACCAGCAGCUCAAGUGGUGAUCCUUAUUAUUGGGCCUAAAGCGUCCGUAGCCGGUCUGGUAAAUCCUUGGGUAAAUCGUACAGCUUAACUGUACGACUUCCGGGGAGACUGCUAGACUUGGGACUGGGAGAGGUCGGAGGUACUCCCGGGGUAGGGGUGAAAUCCUGUAAUCCUGGGGGGACCACCAGUGGCGAAGGCGUCCGACUAGAACGGAUCCGACGGUGAGGGACGAAGCCGUGGGGCACAAACCGGAUUAGAUACCCGGGUAGUCCACGGUGUAAACGCUGCGAGCUUGGUGUUGGGGGUCCUACGAGGGCGCCCAGUGCCGGAGAGAAGUUGUUAAGCUCGCCGCCUGGGGAGUACGAUCGCAAGAUUG
rnacentral:rRNA from 1 species